rnacentral:rRNA from 1 species
AGUGAACGCUGGCGGUAGGCCUAACACAUGCAAGUCGAACGGCAGCACAGUAAGAGCUUGCUCUUACGGGUGGCGAGUGGCGGACGGGUGAGGAAUACAUCGGAAUCUACUUUUUCGUUGGGGAUAACGUAGGGAAACUUACGCUAAUACCGCAUACGACCUACGGGUGAAAGCAGGGGAUCUUCGGACCUUGCGCGAUUGAAUGAGCCGAUGUCGGAUUAGCUAGUUGGCGGGGUAAAGGCCCACCAAGGCGACGAUCCGUAGCUGGUCUGAGAGGAUGAUCAGCCACACUGGAACUGAGACACGGUCCAGACUCCUACGGGAGGCAGCAGUGGGGAAUAUUGGACAAUGGGCGCAAGCCUGAUCCAGCCGUACCGCGUGGGUGAAGAAGGCCUUCGGGUUGUAAAGCCCUUUUGUUGGGAAAGAAAAGCAGCAGGUUAAUACCCCGCUGUUCUGACGGUACCCAAAGAAUAAGCACCGGCUAACUUCGUG